rnacentral:rRNA from 1 species
AUUGAACGCUGGCGGCAGGCCUAACACAUGCAAGUCGAACGGUAGCACAGAGAGCUUGCUCUCGGGUGACGAGUGGCGGACGGGUGAGUAACGUCUGGGAAACUGCCCGAUGGAGGGGGAUAACUACUGGAAACGGUAGCUAAUACCGCAUAACGUCGCAAGACCAAAGUGGGGGCCCUUCGGGCCUCACACCAUCGGAUGUGCCCAGAUGGGAUUAGCUAGUAGGUGGGGUAAUGGCUCACCUAGGCGACGAUCCCUAGCUGGUCUGAGAGGAUGACCAGCCACACUGGAACUGAGACACGGUCCAGACUCCUACGGGAGGCAGCGGUGGGGAAUAUUGCACAAUGGGCGCAAGCCUAAUGCAGCCAUGCCGCGUGUAUGAAGAAGGCCUUCGGGUUGUAAAGUACUUUCAGCGGGGAGGAAGGCGGUGAAGUUAACAGCUUCACCGAUUGACGUUACCCGCAGAAGAAGCACCGGCUAACUCCGUGCCAGCCGCCGCCGUAA